CCUACGGGAGGCAGCAGUGAGGAAUAUUGGUCAAUGGGCGGGAGCCUGAACCAGCCAAGCCGCGUGCGGGAAGAAGGUACAGCGUAUCGUAAACCUCUUUUGUCAGGGAACAAAGGCGGGGACUAGUCCCCGGUUGAGGGUACCUGAAGAAAAAGCAUCGGCUAACUCCGUGCCAGCAGCCGCGGUAAUACGGAGGAUGCGAUCGUUAUCCGGAUUUAUUGGGUUUAAGGGGUGCGCAGGCGGCCUGUUAAGUCAGCGGUAACAGCCCGGGGCUCAACCCCGGCGAGCCGUUGAAACUGGCGGGCUGGAGUGGGAGAGAAGUACGCGGAAUGCGCGGUGUAGCGGUGAAAUGCUUAGAUAUCGCGCAGAACCCCGAUUGCGAAGGCAGCGUACCGGCUCCACACUGACGCUGAGGCACGAAAGCGUGGGUAUCGAACAGGAUUAGAUACCCUAGUAGUC
rnacentral:rRNA from 1 species